AGAUUGAACGCUGGCGGCAGGCCUAACACAUGCAAGUCGAGCGGUAGAGAGGUGCUUGCACCUCUUGAGAGCGGCGGACGGGUGAGUAAUGCCUAGGAAUCUGCCUAGUGGUGGGGGAUAACGUUCGGAAACGGACGCUAAUACCGCAUACGUCCUACGGGAGAAAGCGGGGGACCUUCGGGCCUCGCGCCAUUAGAUGAGCCUAGGUCGGAUUAGCUAGUUGGUGAGGUAAUGGCUCACCAAGGCGACGAUCCGUAACUGGUCUGAGAGGAUGAUCAGUCACACUGGAACUGAGACACGGUCCAGACUCCGUACGGGAGCAGCAGUGGGAAUAGUUGGACAAGUGGGGACGUAAAG
rnacentral:rRNA from 1 species